rnacentral:tRNA from 1 species
UCCAUGGAGGUCUAGUGGUUAGAACUCUGCACUUUCACUGCUGUGGUCCAGGUUCAAUCCCUGGUCUGGGAU